UACGUAGGUGGCAAGCGUUGUCCGGAUUUAUUGGGUUUAAAGGGUGCGUAGGCGGUCUUUUAAGUCAGUGCUGAAAUAUCCCGGCUUAACCGGGAGGGUGGCAUUGAUACUGAAGGACUUGAGUACGGUCGAGGUAGGCGGAAUUGACGGUGUAGCGGUGAAAUGCUUAGAUAUCGUCAAGAACACCGAUAGUGUAGACAGCUUACUAGGCUGAAACUGACGCUGAGGCACGAAAGUGUGGGGAUCAAACAGG
rnacentral:rRNA from 1 species